UUUUGGUAUUCCAAAAGGCACACCUGUUUGAGUGUCAUGA
rnacentral:rRNA from 1 species